GUCCCUCUGUGCUGGGUCAGGUUCCACCUCCGCUGGCAACGGUGACCUAAUGCUCAGGCGCGGUUAUAGACCAGUUUGCAUUAGGACUACCCCACAGAAAAGCAUUGUAUUAAUUCUUUCCUAUGGGGGUUUUACCCAACGUUGGAUUUACUCAUGCAAAGCGUGAGGACAUCCAGUGUCAGGCAACCAAAAGAUACCUAACCACCAGGAAGUGCCUCUAGUGGCUGUCAGGUAGACCACCCGACAGAGGUGGAGUUAACCCUGCAAUGUAAUUAUUGCAGUUUAUUAAUAACUGCUAUAAUAACAAUUGCAGGGUUAAACUGUGAGGGACAGUGCACCCAGACCACUUCAAUGAGCUGAUUCAAUAAACCCUAUUGUAGACUGGUUCUUUU